rnacentral:rRNA from 1 species
GAUGAACGCUAGCUACAGGCUUAACACAUGCAAGUCGAGGGGAAACGAUAGAGAAAGCUUGCUUUUUCUAGGCGUCGACCGGCGCACGGGUGAGUAACGCGUAUCCAACCUGCCCACCACUUGGGGAUAACCUUGCGAAAGUAAGACUAAUACCCAAUGACGUCUCUAGAAGACAUCUGAAAGAGAUUAAAGAUUUAUCGGUGAUGGAUGGGGAUGCGUCUGAUUAGCUUGUUGCGGGGUAACGGCCCACCAAGGCGACGAUCAGUAGGGGUUCUGAGAGGAAGGUCCCCCANAUUGGAACUGAGACACGGUCCAAACUCCUACGGGAGGCAGCAGUGAGGAAUAUUGGUCAAUGGACGAGAGUCUGAACCAGCCAAGUAGCGUGCAGGAUGACGGCCCUAUGGGUUGUAAACUGCCUUUUAUAAGGGAUAAAGUGAGUCUCGUGAGACUUUUUGCAUGUACCUUAUGAAUAAGGACCGGCUAA